rnacentral:lncRNA from 1 species
UCCCUGCACAACACAACAAAUUAACCAAAAUUAAUUAUUUGGACCCAAGUUUUUGUUUUUUAUUUUUGAAUUUUCUCUAUCUAUUGGGGUCCCUACCACUGAAUUUUGGAUAUAAAUCAUAAACAGUAGUCCAAAUUUUAGUGACGGCCAACCAAAUUUUUAUGAUGUUAAAAAUCCACAGAAUUAUUAUUUGUUUGUUUUCAUUUUCAUCCACAUUUCUCUGUCCUUUGAAAGUAACAUAUAUUAUUAGUUAUGUUUACUGUUAUAUACGUGGAGAAAAGACAACGCAAUUUGGUGGGAGAUUUAAAAUUACCUUGACCUAGGACAUUUAAUUCCUAGUAGUGUGGAGGUGGCGGUGGCGAUGAGUAGUAAUAAACGGGAGGUGGUGGGGAAUGGUAUACUGGUGGUGGUGGAGAAUGAUAGACCGGAGGUGGUGGGAGUGGUAUACUGGUGGUGGUGGAGAGUAGACGGGAGGUGGAUAGUAUACUUUCUUUGGUGGUGGUGGAGAGUAGACGGGAGGAGGGUAGUAUACCUUCUUCGGUGGUGGUGGAGAGUAGACGGGUGGUGGGUAGUAUACCUUCUUCGGUGGUGGUGGAGAGUAGACGGGUGGUGGGUAGUAUACCUUCUUCGGUGGUGGUGGAGAGUAGACGGGUGGUGGGUAGUAUACCUUCUUCGGUGGUGGUGGUGAGUAGACGGGGGGUGGGUAGUAUACCUUCUUCGGUGGUGGUGGUGAGUAGACGGGAGGUGGGUAGUACACCUUCUUCGGUGGUGGUGGUGAGUAGACGGGAGGUGGGUAGUACACCUUCUUCGGUGGUGGUGGUGAGUAGACGGGAGGUGGGUAGUAUACCUUCUUUGGCGGUGGUGGUGAGUAGACUGGUGGUGGGUAGUAUACUUUCUUUGGUGGUGGAGGAGACUUAUAGACGGGUGGUGGAUAGUAUACCUUCUUGGGAGGUGGGGGAGACUUGUAGACUGGAGGUGGGUAGUAUACCUUCUUUGGUGGUGGAGGAGACUUAUAGACGGGAGGAGGGUAGUAUACCUUCUUGGGAGGUGGGGGAGACUUGUAGACGGGAGGUGGGUAGUACACCUUCUUGGGAGGUGGGGGAGACUUGUAGACGGGAGGUGGGUAGUACACCUUCUUGGGAGGCGGGGGAGACUUGUAGACGGGAGGUGGGUAAUACACCUUCUUAGGUGGCGGAGGAGACUUGUAGACGGGAGGUGGGUAAUAAACCUUCUUGGGUGGCGGAGGAGACUUGUAGACAGGAGGUGGGUAAUACACCUUCUUUGGUGGUGGUGGAGAGUAAACUGGUGGUGGAUAGUAAACCUUCUUGGGUGGUGGUGGAGAGUGAUACACUGGAGGUGGAUAGUAUGAUUUCUUGGGUGGUGGAGGAGAAUGGUAUACUGGAGGCGGGUAAUAUACCUUCUUAGGUGGAGGAGGAGAAGCGUAGAUAUAAUUAGCAUUGGUAGUGGACGGCAGAGUUAGGGAAAGGAGAGCAACAAAGGCAGCAAAAAGAAUAGGAGCCAUUGAAGAUCCCAUUUUUCCCAUCCUUGAAUGGAUUGGUGGGUUUUUAACACUGCCUUUC